rnacentral:lncRNA from 1 species
CCCAGCCCCACCCAGCCCCCUCCAGGCAUGUACCAGUCCCUCCACCAACCCCACCCCUCCAUACUCCAGCCCUGCCUGGCUGACCGCACUCUCCAGCACCCCCAACACAUGGAACCCCGUCGGGCCCCCCCUCUCCACCGCUCCCCCCAGGGCCAGCCACCUGUCUCCGGGGUCCCCUACAGUGACCACAGCCACUCUCCCAACCUGCCCCCUAUGGACCCUCAGUACCUGUGCAGCCCACAGAGCCUGGGGCCAUCCUAUGGGUCUGAUUAUGGGAGUCUGUCUGGGUCUGACUACCCAGACAGUACAGGGGGUCUGGGGUACGGGCAAUCCCCUCGCAGGGUCCUCAUGGAUCCUGACACAGGGAAGUAUUUCUAUAUUGAGGUGCCUGUGCAGCCACUGAGGAAGAUGCUGUUUGAUCCAGAGACUGGCCAGUAUGUGGAGGUGCUCAUCCCUCAGAGUACCAUGUCUCACUCAGGCCUUUACCCUCCCUUGGCUGCCCCCUACUCCACCGCCUCAGCGGCCCCCUACUCCUCCAUCCACAACCCCAAUAUAUAUGCCCCCGCCCCCAGUACCUCCCCUAUAGCCCCCCUCCUCCUGCACCUCACCCCCAGUCCCAGCCCCAGCCACCCCGCCACCCAGAGGCUCCAGCCCCAGGGACGAUGCGCCAGAAUGGGGCUCAGGUUGGCUACGGGAGCCCCGGGAGCCAGGGGUUCAAGCCGGAGCCCCAGAGUCAUGCACCUCUGGACCAGAGCUACCUGGAGAGCAUGUACUACGUCCCUACAGGCAUGAACACUAGCCCCCCGGACUGCUACCACAAACAACCCUCCAGUCUGCCCAACGCGGGGGGGAAGAGGGCCUGAAAUAGUCAUCUUCCUGGUGCCUGUAGGGUCUCAGAAUACAGCCAGGUCAGGGUGUACAUGAGGAGGUCUAAUGUAAGCCUCAGGCCUUGAUGUUAGCUUUGUUUCCCUGGCAACUGGACUGGAGUGAAUGAUUCUUUAGUUGUGGUUGUUUGUUGUUUUAUUGUUUUGUUGUUUAUGUUGUUAGCAGCUUUUUAUUUGCCUGGUUGCCUGAUUAUGUUCGCUUUUUAUGCAUUGAUUUGGUAAGAGAAAAAAACUAUUAUCGUGUUUGAAGGUCCUUGAUGAUAGUUCUGGGAUUUCUAAUUAUAUUUUUCUUUGACAAAAACACCUGAAAGCCAUCAGGUGUGCCUUAUCCAUUCUCAUAGAUUAUUCAUUCAAUCUAAACAAACACUUACUGUUUGCAUUUACACUACGUUUAGAUACAUGUUUCAAUGCAUACGUCAAAUUUUUGAAGUAAAUUCACCUUGUAUUAAAACCAAUAUCUCCUAAAGACUUGAAACUGCUAUUUGGGAAGAUCUCAUGUAUGUGAUGUUUUUCUCUGUUUAUUAUUGAAUGAAUAGGUUUUGUUCACAAAGAAGCUGCAAUGACACUAAUAAAAAUGUGUAAGAUACUGAAUGUAAUAAAACUACUGUAGAAUGCCC